AGACGGUCUCCUUUGUAAAUUUCCAGCCGAAGGUUUCCACCUCCCCGCCCAACGCGCAGACUGGCAGCUCCGGAGCAGACGGCGCGUUAGGAAGCGACGCUCCGCAGCAGCAGCAUCGCACCGAAGUGGGUCGGGGAGGAAGAGGGAGAGAAAGAGAGCGAGGGAGGCGGGAUUGGAGACGCUGCCUCGCCGGGUUUGGGGAGGAAGGUGCGUUGGGGGAGCGGUGGGAAGGGAGGAGGGAAGCGAGAGCGGCAGGGAGCCCGGAGCCCACCGCGCAACCCGGCCGGUUCCAAGAGGCUCCACUAGAAGGGCAAAGGACGGCCAAAGGCGGCGGCGGCGGCUUUCUCCACGGAGCCGGGCGAGAGCGAGAGGAGGGGAACGCCCGUUCGAGCAACAGAUGAACAGCUGGAGCGCGCUGGGCGCAGGAGAAGCGGCGUGCUUUCGAGGGAGAGGGCUGUCUUCAGCUUUCCGGGGCGACCCCAGGCUCGAGGCCAAGGCAGUUCGCCGGCUUCAAAGAGAACGGCCAUUAGAUUCCUCACCUGCAUGGAAGCCCAAGCUUCUUCGUUUGCUGUUCCUGGAAUGCUGAACAAAAGCCCUUCUCUGGAAGUCUGUGAGUCAACCUCCAGCAGGAUGACAUGAAAUUGAUUGCACAGUUCCAGCAAUAAGGACUACCUCCUGGUCCUAUUUACAAAAGAGGCUUGUUAAAGCCUUGAAGAACUCUGUGUGAUGGGGCAAAUAAGAAAUGAAGAGAAAUCAAAUCCCACAGCAAUAUUUGAAUGAGCUAAAGAUUAAGACUGUUAGAAGUAAAAGGAAGGAAUAUAAAGUUGGUUUAUUUGAUCAAGGUUAAAACAAGAUAUGUUGUUACUUUUGGUAACCCUUUAUGGACUUUCUGCUGACACCAGGACUGAAAAGAUUAUGUUUUAAGGAUUUGUUUAUAGGUAAGAUAUGGGAUAUGGGAUGCAGAGAUAAAUGUUUGUAACCUUAGAGGUGAUGAAGAGUCACUAAAUUAGUUUACACUUGUGAUGA